rnacentral:lncRNA from 10 species
AUCCCACUUUCAAAGUAGUUCAUAUAUUUGUGAAGAGGUCACAGAGAUAGCAACACCAAUGUAGAAGCAAGUUGGGGAAUGAGUGGACCUAGGAGAAAUCCAACAGUGUAAAAGCAGAGUCUUGGGAAGCUUAUUGCAGACAUUUCCAUCCAUUUUAGAGUUCUCUCCCUCAUCCUUUUCGGCCAUACAGGGUCUUGCUCUGUCACCAGGCUGGAGUGCAGUGGCAUGAUCAUGACUGACUGCAGCCUCUACCUUCUGGGCUCAAGAGAUCCUCCACCUCAGCCUCCUGAGUAGCUGAGACCACAGUUAUGUGCCAACAUGCCUAGCUAAUUUUUAAAUUUUUUGCAGAGAUAGGAUCUCACUGUGCUGUCCAGGAUGAUCUCAAACUCCUGGCCUCAAGCGAUCCUCUUGCCUCAGCCUCCCAAAAUACUGGAAUUAACAGGCGUGAGCCACCAUGCCAAGCCCAUAAUCAAUUUUAGAACAUUUUCAUUAUCCCUUAAUGAGACCUUGGCUCCAUUAGCAGUCACUUCUUCUUCUGCCCUCUCCCACCCCCAACCAGCCCAGCCCUAGGCAACCACCAUUCAUCUACUUUCUGUCACUGUAGAUUUCCCUACCCUGGACAUUCAUAUAAAUGGAAUCAUACAGUAUGUGGUCUUUUGUGAGUUGCCUCUUUCACUUAACAUAUUUCCAAGGUUCACCCAUGUUAUGACAUGUCAUAAUUUCCUUUCUGUUUAUUGACAAAUAAUAUGUCAUUGUAUAUAUAUGACAUCAUGUUUAUCCAUUCAUCGGUUGAUAGACAUUUGGGUUGUUCAUACUUUUGGCUAUUAUAAAUAACACUGCUAUGAACACAUGUGUGCCAGUUUUUGUGUGGAUAUAUGUUUUCAUUUAUCUUGGGUGCAUUGAUAAGAGUGGAAUUGCUGGGUCCUAUAGUAGCUCCAUGAUUACUCUUUUGAAGUACUGCCAAACUGGUUCCCAAAGUGGCUGCACCAAUACACAUUCCCACCAGCAAUACAUGAGGGGUUCCAAUGUCUCUACAUUCUUACCAACACAUGGUAUUAUUUGUGUUUUUUGUACAACCAUCCUAGUAAGUGUAAAAUGAUAUCUCAUUGUGGUUUUGGUUUGCGUUUUCCUAAUGGCUAAUGAUUGAGCAUCUUUUUAUAUAUUUAUUGGCCAUUCAUAUAUCAUUCUUGGAGGAAUAGCUGUCAUAUUUUUGCCCAUUUUUAAAUUGAUUUAUCUUUUCAUCACUAUCUAUUAUGUUCUUUCACUUAAUAUAAUGUUUUCAAGGUUCACCUAUGUUAUACAUGUGUCAGAAUUUCCUUC